AUUGAACGCUGGCGGCAGGCCUAACACAUGCAAGUCGAACGGUAACAGGAAGCAGCUUGCUGCUUCGCUGACGAGUGGCGGACGGGUGAGUAAUGUCUGGGAAGCUGCCUGAUGGAGGGGGAUAACUACUGGAAACGGUAGCUAAUACCGCAUAAUGUCGCAAGACCAAAGAGGGGGACCUUCGGGCCUCUUGCCAUCGGAUGUGCCCAGAUGGGAUUAGCUUGUUGGUGGGGUAACGGCUCACCAAGGCGACGAGCCCUAGCUGGUCUGAGAGGAUGACCAGCCACACUGGAACUGAGACACGGUCCAGACUCCUACGGGAGGCAGCAGUGGGGAAUAUUGCACAAUGGGCGCAAGCCUGAUGCAGCCAUGCCGCGUGUAUGAAGAAGGCCUUCGGGUUGUAAAGUACUUUCAGCGGGGAGGAAGGGAGUAAAGUUAAUACCUUUGCUCAUUGACGUUACCCGCAGAAGAAGCACCGGCUAACUCCGUG
rnacentral:rRNA from 1 species